rnacentral:piRNA from 1 species
UGCCCUACAGAGAAGGAGAAUCAGACA